GCACCUCACACUGUGCACAUUACCAGACCUCCACUUCUUCCAAGAUGAUUGUCUUCCUACUAACAGACGGCCAGUAACAGACCAUGUGGACAGUUUCCAUGAGGAGGGAGCUCUCCUCACAGCACCAGCCUGCCCUGUUAAGAAUGAUUAUUUCAGAGAGCAUCCCCCGUGUAAGAGCUGGGCACCUGAGGUAUCCACCGUGCACAACCUGGUUCACUACCAGAGUAGUUCAGCAAAGAACAUUAGAAGUCAAGCCCUUUAUCAUUCUGGAGAACAAAAGGAUAACUGUCUUCCUGAUAAAGCCAGUUUUCUUGUCUGUCUCUCAUUGGCUGACAAUGGGAUAAUACCAGCAAAAGAAAACAAGAUCAAACUAGUAGUGCUGGAUCUGAGAAGAUAAAAGAAGAAACAAAUUUCAGAGAGAAAGGAAUGUUGGGUAGAUGAGAGAAAUAAGAAACACAUUUCUACAGCAAAGGAUAUUUUACACUGAGGCUAGACAAGGGCAAAAGAUCCUAGGAGAAAACAGGGCCUCUCUGUUCCAGGGAAGAAGACAUCUGCUGGCAGAGGGCUACUGGGCCCUGAAAGAUUCAGCCUCAACACAGAGAACACUUGAGCAGUGAAAAACAAAACAUAAGAACACAGAAAUGAAUAAAUGUUUUAUUGUUA